AAGCACAGGAUUGCUCUUAGAAUGUGCUUUCAUGCCCCUCCUAGGGUACAGGUAGUAGAAGAAACUCCCCUGGAUGUAUAAUGGACUCAUAGGAAACCCUAGAAAACACCUCCAUCCUGGGUCAGAGGAACUUUUUUUAGCUCAUCUGAGAGAUGGCCUAGAAUGGCAGUAAGAGCAUGUGCAGUAGAUAUUUCCUGACAGACAGCCUGGUUCUGCCAGAGGGCCUUGACAACAGCACCCAAGUCUGAGAAGAGAGGACAUGGACCUAUCUACAGUGACCAUAUCACCUCAGCAGAUGGUGG
rnacentral:lncRNA from 1 species